rnacentral:misc_RNA from 1 species
CAUGGCUGCUACUAGUGGUGCUGUGCUAAAUGGAUUGGCAUCUUCCUUCUUGUGUGGAGGGAGGAGAACUCAGGCCUUGUUGGGUUUUGGAGGAAAUAGAUUGGCAAGUGGUGCAGUUGUUGGUUCAAGGAAGUUGUUAGUUAUGGCUGCUGCUGCUGCUGCUAAACCAAAGAAGUCUUGGAUCCCUGCUGUUAAACGUGGUGGCAACUUCAUUGAUCCUGAGUGGCUCGAUGGCUCGUAAGUAAUCUCUUUUGUAUUUCUUAACUAGCUGAUCUGAUUUUAUCAAUUAUCUAAUUAUUUUUGAACGUGAAUGAAUAUCAUUGAAUCAACGUACUCAAGAGAAAUCUAGAUUAGCUUUAUUGCUAUAUUUGCAGGUGAAGAUCAUGGCUAUUGGAAUAUACUUUUUAAUCUUUUUCUUUGUGUCCGAUUUUUCACUUGUGUCAAAAGAUAAUUCAGCAGCGAUUUAACCCAAAAGUGCAGGCUCCCAGGUGACUAUGGAUUCGACCCA